AACGGGGGGGGCAAGCGUUAUUCGUCGUUAUUGGGCGUAAAGGGUACGUAGGUGGGUUUAUUAUUUUCUUAGCCAAAGGACAACGGUUUUACGUUGUCAGUGCUGUUUAAAGAAAAGACCUAGAGACUGUAAAAGGUUAGAAGAAUUACUAAAGUAGGGGUAAAAUGUGCUGAUCUUAGUACGAAUACCGCAUGCGCAGGCAUCUUUCUUAGCAGUCUGACACUGAGGUACGAAAGCAUGGGGAUCAAACAGG
rnacentral:rRNA from 1 species